rnacentral:rRNA from 1 species
CUGGAGGUAUCAGAAGUGCGAAUGCUGACAUAAGUAACGAUAAAGCGGGUGAAAAGCCCGCUCGCCGGAAGACCAAGGGUUCCUGUCCAACGUUAAUCGGGGCAGGGUGAGUCGACCCCUAAGGCGAGGCCGAAAGGCGUAGUCGAUGGGAAACAGGUUAAUAUUCCUGUACUUGGUGUUACUGCGAAGGGGGGACGGAGAAGGCUAUGUUGGCCGGGCGACGGUUGUCCCGGUUUAAGCGUGUAGGCUGGUUUUCCAGGCAAAUCCGGAAAAUCAAGGCUGAGGCGUGAUGACGAGGCACUACGGUGCUGAAGCAACAAAUGCCCUGCUUCCAGGAAAAGCCUCUAAGCAUCAGGUAACAUCAAAUCGUACCCCAAACCGACACAGGUGGUCAGGUAGAGAAUACCAAGGCGCUUGAGAGAACUCGGGUGAAGGAACUAGGCAAAAUGGUGCCGUAACUUCGGGAGAAGGCACGCUGAUAUGUAGGUGAAGUCCCUUGCGGAUGGAGCUGAAAUCAGUCGAAGAUACCAGCUGGCUGCAACUGUUUAUUAAAAACACAGCACUGUGCAAACACGAAAGUGGACGUAUACGGUGUGACGCCUGCCCGGUGCCGGAAGGUUAAUUGAUGGGGUCAGCGCAAGCGAAGCU